GUCAGCACAGAGUCUGAUGCAGAGCUUGAACUCAUGAACCUGAGCAAGAUCACAUGACCUGAGCUGAAGUCAGCCGCUUAACUGACUGAGCCACCCAGGCACCCCAAGGGAGGCCUUGACCAUGGAAGGGACCACCAGGCAAGCAGUGCUGGUGGCCACAGGAGCUGACAGCAGCAUCCCACUGACAUUGUGCAAGGAAGUGAACCCUUGCAGGGGGAGGACCGCAGUCCUCCAGCUCCAGGAAAUGGAAUUCUGCCAACAGCUCUGUUCAAGCUUGGAGGGGAUGUUGAGCGCUAGGUGCAAACACUGCCUGUGACACACCGGAGAGAACCAUCAGCAUCACACUGGAUUGCUGACCUGCAGAACUGGGACACAUGGAUGGCUGCUGUCGUAAGUCACUAUGGUUGUGGGAAUUUGUUCUGCGGCAAUAGAAAACCACUGCACAGCCUCAAGUGUACAUAGAGGUCUUGCCCCUGGAAUGAAUUUAUGAAACUUCAUGCACACUAGAUGGAUGAAAUAAAAUCUUUCCUUGGGGUGCCUGGGUGGCUCAGUCAGUUAGGCGUCCAACUUCAGCUCAGGUCAUGAUCUCACGGUUUGUGGGUUCGAGCCCCACAUCAGGCUCUCUGUGCUGACAGCUUAGAGCCUGGAGCCUGCUUCCAAUUCUGUGUCUCCCUCUCUCCCUGCUCCUCCCCCCAACUCAUGCUCUGUCUCUCUCUCUCCUUCAAAAAUAAAAACUUAAAAAAAUUUUUUUAACUUUCCUUAUUUUUGCUUAUGUAUUUUUCAUUUUAUGAUUUUUAUGUGAUGCAAUUAAAUACUAAUAGUCACAUUUCAUUCAUUCAUUCAACAACAAUUAAUUUAGAGCCUACUAUACACCAGGAAUGGCUUUCUAUGCGGGGAGACAGCUUUCACCAAAAUAGCCCAAAGCCCCUGUGCUCAUGUGCCCUACAUUCUAGAGGCUUCUCAAGAGUGAGACGGAGCCACUGGAACAUUUUCAGUGAACACAUGAUGUGACCUGACUCAUAUUAGCAAGACCGCUGACUCACAUUAGCAGGACAUUAGACUCCCCUGUGGGGAGAAGAGCCCCAGGUGGCAGGUGAUGCAGGGCACCAGGGCCACAAUCCAGGAGGGACAGGAUGGUGGAGACUAAGGGGAGGAGAGGGCCUGAGGGAUGAGAGAGACAGAGAGAAGGGCUGCAGGCACAGGGUGAGGAAAAGAAGCAGAGGGAAAGAAUUCUAAGCAGUGGAAUUCUCAGAUUUAAAUACAUUGUUAUACAGAUUUUUAAUAAAUCUCUAUCUACAGGAUGUAGCAAGACAUUCUUUGCAUCUACUAUUUACUAUACUCUGGGGGCUCCCUGAAAACCCAUUGCCUCCUUAUGAUAUUCAGGGUAAAGAAAAGAAUACCAAGUGCCCCAACAAUAUGCACAUAAUUUAAGUAUUAAUUCAAACACAGGAAAUGGGAGAACACUGGUGAAGGGCAUCUGGCUGCACUGAACACUUGCAACUGGGAGGCGAUUAUAGCUUGCCCACUCUUCCAGCGGAAAUAUACAUAACAGUUGUGCAUCCAUGGACUGAGGAAAUGUCCAGCAUUCACACAGAUAAUCUUGGGGCUAUGGAAUGAAGGUCAUGUUAAAACACAGGAGUCAGGGCCCCCUGGGUGGUUCAGUCGGUUGAGCAUCUGACUUUGGCUCAGGUCAUAACCUCACGGUUUGUGAGUUUGAGCCCUGUGUCAGGCUCUGUGCUGACAGCCUGGAGCCUGCUUUGGAUUCUGUGUCCCCCCUCUCUCUCCACCCCACCCCUGCUUGUGCUCUCUCUCUGUCUUUCAAAAAUGAAUAAAACACAGGAGUCACUGAUAUAUUGUUUGGGAAAACUGAAGAGCUUUGUGAGCCUGACUGCUGUGCUGGAUGGUCACUUUUCUGUAGGGUGGGGCCAAAAUCACAUUUACAGUUUAGAUUCCUGAUGUUCAGUUGUUACCAACAUUGUGCUACCACUAGCGUUAAUCAACAAGAAGGAAACUGGAAUCAGGUACAGCUUCUCCAUGUCUAAAGAGAAAACCUCUGUCCCUCCUUUUCUGUCCCCAGGGUGAGCUCAUUCUCUUGUAUCGAAUUCCCUGGGAGUGAGUUUUCUAGAAUAAUCCAGAGGAAGAAAGGUAAGGGGUAGGAGGUAAGAGAAUCCAGUUCAGCGAAUAUUCCGGAAAGGACUGUGCAGGAAAAGGAGUUGAGCCCAGCCUGUGCGUCUUUCCCUGUUUUCCUCAGACAGCCCCUGGGCCAGGACUCAGGAAGACAGGAUGACAACGUCACCUGACCACCGUGCAUGCGGAGAGAGGUCAGGACAAAGUCUCAGAACUCCCGGGAGGGCCUGACUCUUCGUGUACCCUCACGAGGGCGGUGUCUGGCGCAGGGAAGGCCAGGGUUAGGGAGUCCUUAACUCCCCUGGUUUUACUUCUCCUUCUCACAGCCUGGGUCACGUCCUCCUGCCUGGAUACUGAUGACGGAAGCCCAGUGCCCACUCCCAUUGAGUUUCCCGUUUUAGAGAAACAAUUAGCGUCACCGCUGUUGCCGCAUACAAAAUUCUCGGGAACAGGCUCCGUUCAGCUUUUCCCAAGACCCCGAGGGUCUGCUGCAUGGACCCCACAACCCGUCCUCCUCCUGUUCUCGGGAAGCCUACUCCUUACCGCGACCUGGGCGGGUGACUGCGGG
rnacentral:lncRNA from 1 species